rnacentral:tRNA from 1 species
GGGCGCAUAGCUCAGUUGGCUAGAGCAUCUGGUUUACAUCCAGAGGGUCGGGGGUUCGAGUCCCUCUGCGCCCA